GUACUUGUACCUGGUGGCGAGCGGCGGACGGGUGAGUAAUGCCUAGGAAUCUGCCUGGUGGUGGGGGAUAACGCUCGGAAACGGACGCUAAUACCGCAUACGUCCUACGGGAGAAAGCAGGGGACCUUCGGGCCUUGCGCUAUCAUAUGAGCCUAGGUCGGAUUAGCUAGUUGGUGAGGUAAUGGCUCACCAGGGCGACGAUCCGUAACUGGUCUGAGAGGAUGAUCAGUCACACUGGAACUGAGACACGGUCCAGACUCCUACGGGAGGCAGCAGUGGGGAAUAUUGGACAAUGGGCGAAAGCCUGAUCCAGCCAUGCCGCGUGUGUGAAGAAGGUCUUCGGAUUGUAAAGCACUUUAAGUUGGGAGGAAGGGCAGUUACCUAAUACGUGAUUGUUUUGACGUUACCGACAGAAUAAGCACCGGCUAACUCUGUGCCAGCAGCCGCGGUAAUACAGAGGGUGCAAGCGUUAAUCGGAAUUACUGGGCGUAAAGCGCGCGUAGGUGGUUUGUUAAGUUGAAUGUGAAAUCCCCGGGCUCAACCUGGGAACUGCAUCCAAAACUGGCAAGCUAGAGUAUGGUAGA
rnacentral:rRNA from 1 species